rnacentral:rRNA from 1 species
UACGGAAGGCAGCAGUGGGGAAUAUUGCACAAUGGGCGCAAGCCUGAUGCAGCCAUGCCGCGUGUAUGAAAAAGGCCUUCGGGUUGUAAAGUACUUUCAGUCGUGAGGAAGGUGUUAAGGUUAAUAACCUUAGCAAUUGACGUUAGCGACAGAAGAAGCACCGGCUAACUCCGUGCCAGCAGCCGCGGUAAUACGGAGGGUGCGAGCGUUAAUCGGAAUUACUGGGCGUAAAGGGCACGCAGGCGGUUAAUUAAGUUGGAUGUGAAAUCCCCGGGCUUAACCUGGGAAUGGCAUUCAAGACUGGUUAGCUAGAGUCUUGUAGAGGGGGUAGAAUUCCAUGUGUAGCGGUGAAAUGCGUAGAGAUGUGGAGGAAUACCGGUGGCGAAGGCGGCCCCUGGACAAAGGCUGACGCUCAUGUGCGAAAGCGUGGGGAGCAAACG